rnacentral:antisense_RNA from 1 species
AGUGAGAAUCUACUUUUUGAAACAAGUCAAGUUAAAAAAAAGCAUUUGUCUACAAAAGAACAUCAGAUACUGCACUUUUUACAAAUUGAAAGUUUGUGGCAAGCCUGCAUCAAGAAAGUCCAUUGAUGUCAUUUUUUUCAAACAGAAAAGUAAAGAUGUUUCUGGAAGGCACCAGGAGUCCUGUCCGCACUGAGGACCAUGAAGUUCACCUGCAUUGAGUUCUUUCCCCUUGUACAACACUUACUCCCAGACCAAAAAAUAACUUCUUCUCUCCAAUCUGUGUUCCAAGCAAACCAAUAGACUCCAAUUGUCUCCCGAAAUUCUUAAAGUGCUUUUCCAAUAUCCACUAUGUUUGGGCAACAUAUUAAAAAUAUACAACAAAAA